AGUCAUGGCUCCUCGCCGUGGCCGAUGUUUUUGUACCUCCAUCUGCGGAGGCCGCGGCGCCCGGCCCCAGCUGCCCCGGACGUGCGGCGACGGCACGCAGCACUGCGGCAGGGGGAAGCCAGCCCUCGCUGCGGCCGAGGUGAGUCUAACCUGAGGCACUGACGCCGUCACAUGCCCUCCGUGCUGGGGCCGGCGGUGCGGCUCGCCAGUUGAGGGGCAGGGCGGGCCGGCGCCGCGGAGCGAGAGGACGUGAGCGAGGAACUGUUUGCACUGUGUAGUAAAGAGGGAAUGGCCAUGAGAUGUGAGUAGAAGCCCCCUGGACAGCCUCCAAAAGAGAACUGUGAGAAAAGGUUCUUCAAUCCUAAAAAUGAUGGAGGAAAAAACAGUCCCUCUUCCUCAGACAGUGACACCUCAAACUGCUACAGUCACCUUUGCAGCAAGCCUGAAGAUGCCACCAACAUCAAAGGGAAUAGAGAGUUGGUCCUUGGUGAUAGCAUUAAGCCACUGUAUCAACCAAUCCUGACAAUUUGUAUGACUUCUGGAUUUCCAGCCACAUUACAACAAUGUAACAAUAAACAUUUAUUAAUUGCU
rnacentral:lncRNA from 1 species